rnacentral:rRNA from 1 species
AUUGAACGCUGGCGGCAGGCCUAACACAUGCAAGUCGAACGAGUGGCGGACGGGUGAGUAAUGUCUGGGAAACUGCCUGAUGGAGGGGGAUAACUACUGGAAACGGUAGCUAAUACCGCAUACCAUCGGAUGUGCCCAGAUGGGAUUAGCUAGUAGGUGGGGUAAAGGCGCACCAAGGCUACGAUCCCUAGCUGGUCUGAGAGGAUGACCAGACACACUGGAACUGAGACACGGUCCAGACGCCGACGGGAGGCAGCAGUGGUGAAUAUGGUACAAUGGGCGCGAGCCUGAUGCAGCCAUGCAGCGUGUAUGAAGAAGGCCUGCGGGUUGUAAAGUACUUUCAGCGUGGAGGCGUUACCCGCAGAAGGAGCAACGGAUUACGCCGUGACAGCAGCCGCGGUAAUUC